AGCACUCUCAGCAGUUAGGGCUGUACUUGUGAGUGGCAAGGAAAGGGGCUAGCAUCGUUCAACCCUCACUGCAUGCCUCCAUAAAGGCAAGCUGCCCUUGACCCUGACCAUCUGUAAUCACUAAGCAAAAAUACAGCAGAGGGUCAAGGCAAGGGUCACCAGCCAGGGGCCACAGGUCAGGUUGCCAGGCACUCCCUCUUUAUCUCGGUACACUCACCUGUGGUGGAGCAGACACAGUGCAUGCUCAGUCCUACAGACUCCUUUGAUACUUCCUGGUAAGUUCAGCGCCAUGUUGCCUUAGGCUCUUCACAUGUUUUUUUGCUAUAAAUAAAAUACAAGUGUCCAUGUCUAAUUCACAAUACACAUAAAAGCCAGACCCGGGUCAGCUUACUUAAACAGCAGUGUGGAAAGUUGUUGGCUGGAAUUUUCUUCAGGGUAACUGAAGC
rnacentral:lncRNA from 1 species